rnacentral:rRNA from 1 species
GACGAACCGUGCGAACGUUGUUCGGAAUCACUGGGCUUAAAGGGCGCGUAGGCGGUCUACCAAGUCGGGGUUGAAAUCUUUCGGCUUAACCGGAAAAGUGGCUUCGAUACUGGUAGACUGGAGGGAGGCAGGGGCGGAUGGAACUUCCGGUGGAGCGGUGAAAUGUGUUGAUAUCGGAAGGAACGCCAGUGGCGAAAGCGAUCCGCUGGACCUCUACUGACGCUGAGGCGCGAAAGCCAGGGGAGCAAACGGG